rnacentral:rRNA from 1 species
GAUCCUGCUCAGGAUGAACGCUGGCGGCGUGCUUAACACAUGCAAGUCGAGCGAAGCACUUAAGUUAGAUUCUUCGGAUGAAGACUUUUGUGACUGAGCGGCGGACGGGUGAGUAACGCGUGGGUAACCUGCCUCAUACAGGGGGAUAACAGUUAGAAAUGACUGCUAAUACCGCAUAAGACCACGGUACCGCAUGGUACAGUGGUAAAAACUCCGGUGGUAUGAGAUGGACCCGCGU